UUCUGAUCCUCAUGGCAUGUUUGAUGUUCAUUGACAGAGGUCAUGUGAAGCUGCAUGUCCCUCUCCAGGAGCAGAAAGGAGAUCACAGUGACUUCAAUCUGUGAGUGAAGGGCACACAUGCCCACAUGGACCUGCUGCAAGAGGACAUUCUUCUCAUUCCUUCUACUUCAUUUCUCCUGACAUUCUUCUCUGGCCUAGGAAAUUUGGCUUUGUCUCCUGUAGUUUGAACACCUAUGAAAACAAUGUCAGAUCUCUCCAAAGUCUCCUUUUAAAAUGAGUUUUGAAGGCAGUUUCCAGUUUUUUGUUCUGAUUUCUGGUGGAGUAUUCUGGCCCCUGUGCUAUUUCCCCCUGCCUGCCCACGGUCUUCCUGAGACCUGCUGGCAGAGGGAGGUUUUCACAGCCUGAAGUGUUGAUUCUGAGAAGUGUGAAGGAAACAGAACCGUGCUGGAUGAUGUGACUCACCUUGGAGAAGUUGAUGUUUUCCGGCUGAAGGAAAGUGUAAAGUUUCAGCUUUCCUAGUCCAGAUGUUUUAAUGGAUAUUGCUGCAGUGAGAGAAACCCUGGUCUGCAUGUUUGACUCAGUCCUGAACAGGAGAAUAACAAGUUACACACUAAUAUAAAUGUUUAAUGAUUCAUGAUAAAAAAAUAAAUUAGAUGGUGAGCAAAAUACUUGGUUAAUUGACUAUGGAGUCCUAAGUUCCCCAAAAUGUAGCAUUCCAGCUAAAUAUGGCUGAAAUAUCAGCUGUCAUAUGAUGAAUAUUUUAAAGAAGAUUCUAUUAUACACCUAGGGGUUCAUUCGCUUCAGUAAUGAGGACAGUUACCUCUAGGGAAAGGAAGCUGUAUUAUGCUUGCCACUUAACCAGGGGCUGGUUUGACAGGCAUCAGCUCAGAAUAUAUGUGUAUAUAUAGGGAAUCACAGCAGCUUGUCUCAAGCUUACUGAGCACGAAAUGUUGUGCUGUACAAUACUUUGGGUUUCUAUCUAUGGAUUUGUGGAUGGCACUGAGUGGGAUUCAGACUAUUUUUAUUCCUGAGUCUGAUUGUUGAGAUGGAAUCCAUCACCUACUAAAUAUUAAAUCAGCAGGUUUUUUAAAGAGUAACACUGUCUCUGCUGACUUGAAUAUCCUUAUGUGGCCCAGAGGAAAAGAGAAACAAAGACAAGAUGAGAAAACUAUCGUCUUUGGCAUUCUUCUUAAUAUUAAUGAUUUCUCUAGUUUUCAAACUGUUGAAGGCAAAAAGUGAGAGAGUAGAACUUUCACAUGGGUAAGAAAUGACCCAGGUGAAAAAAAAGCAUACAUUAUAAAAACCGCCGUGAAACUUCUGGAGUUGAAUUAUUUGUUGGAAGAGAUGGGGAAAAUGCCUCAACAGAUUAUUUUUUAAACAAGUUUUGUUUAAUUGUUUCCAAAUGAACAUGGCUGGGAAUUACUAGGAAUGUGUCAAUUCCAAAUUACUUGAACAGUUUCACGUAGAUGCAAUUUAUGUCAGAUGUUACUCUGAAUGUGUUUUCUGAAACCUAGUGUUUGCAAAGGCUGAAGUUUUGAGCUAACUAUCCAACUUACAUGCUAUUGUUCAUCUUAGCAGACUGACUGGAAUUGUAAAUAGUUCCUUCAGGUUUUUCUUUUUAAAGUUGCACUUCAUAGACAAUAUCCAAAGACACCUGUGAGGUGUCUGAAUGAAUAGUUCUAGUAUACCCAUGGUUGUCUAUAUGAACAUUCAUCAUGCACCACUGCACAAAUAAAAGCCCAUCUCUGUCAUUCUUAAAGGAUGCUUUAAGACUUUUAAGGAUUCUUUAGGAUUUUAAAAAAUACUUUUCUGAUAAUGAGCAGGUAGGUAAAAUAACAAAGGCAUGACAAAUGACGGCACAUAUUUUUUGGUUUUACAUUUUGCAAAAUAGUCACAUUUCAGUUCCAGAUAUUGAAAUGAAGAAUUGCAACACCAAUCUUCUAAACACAGUGAACAUUCUUUAAAAGUUCCUGCUUGCUGACUGCUAUGAUGGAAGCUCACUUCUUAUGCCACUUUUUUAAGGCCUCAGAUGACAUAUCAGAAUGUCCUGGAUGCCCUGAUUUUUAAACAGCACAUCUCAUACAAUCCUAUGAUAGAAGAAUUCCAGUCCUUUGCUUAGUUUCAAGUAAUUCUCCUUGUUUAGCCAGAUGAAUUAUCUAGAUAUCAGAAUACACGUGAUUUAUUCUGAUGCUGUUUGUUAGAUAAACUGACCCUUCAAUGCAAAGAAGGGACAAAAUGAAAGUAUUCAUUAAGUUGAUGCCUUUGCAUAUUUCACAUGCAUUUUUUAAGAUCAUGUUACAUAUUCAUCAGUUUUAGUCACAGAGUUGUUGCCAUGAAUGCUUUGUGUAUAUGUGGAUAUCUGAGCUGCUUUGUAGGAGUGGGUGAUAUAAGGAAAAAAUAGAAAAAUUUAGCAUGAAAUCGGGAGAGAAUAAGUGAGAUGAGAAGUUAGGAGGGACUCUGAGCUAUAUCAUUCCCAUUCUAUACAUCUGAAUCCUUAGAGGUUGUAGAGUUUCCUUUCCUAGUAUAACUUGGUGCUCACUGGGAGUUUAGGUCAAAUAUUGAUGUUAUUUAAAACCCAACAGUUAUUAUUUUUCACCUUGAGGUAAGGGUUGAAUAAUCUUAAAUUGUCCAGGGACCACAAACUUGUCAUCCUAUCAGUUCAUUCAUUGUCUACAUUGGCUUUAAGUGUGUGUGAAAAAGAGAAUAUUUGAAUCAAACUUUACUUUCUGUUUUGAAGAGAAGUUGUGUUUCCAGAGUUUGUUUUAUAUUUGUGCCCUGCUUGAUGCGAUGUUCUGUUAUGUAAGACCACAGAAUGAAGACUUUAUCAAGACUUGGAAAGUGUGGGAAAAAUAAAUGGGUUUGUUGGGUUUUCUUUUUGCUU